CCUCAAGAAAUGUAGGAUGCUGGAAGUGCUCAGUGUUUAGUACCAUGAUGACAGAGGAGCAUAACCCUUGAAAUGCACUUCCUGUGUUAUUCUUUCAGCUAUAUACCCUAAAUAGUAGCAUAAGUAUUAACUAUGCUCAUUAGUUCCAACAGCUACUGGAUAAAUUUUAAAAAAUGCUUAAAAAGUUGGUAAGCCCCCAGCUUUGCAAACAGCAGGGAAAGAAUUUAAGUGAAUCAAAGUCCAAAACCAGAGAUGUCGAAGUUUAAUAUUUACUUCAAGUAAAUAUUUCACCACUUUGGCCAUGAAGGCCAGGCCGUGGUGGGAUUGCUAUAAGGGCUGCGAUAGAUGAGUAACGCCAUGGUUGACUCUCGCAAUUCAAAGGCAAUAGCAUUUCUCACCGGGCCAAGCUGUGAUGGGGAUUCCAAGAGGGCCAUGCCGUGAGGGCCAUGCCAGGAGAGGAUUUGCCGUGAAGGAGAUGCCAUGAGAGCCAUGCCCUGAGGGUACUGCUGUGGGGGCUGUGCCGUGAGGGCCAUGCUCUGAGGGUACUGCUGUGGGGGCUGUGCCGUGAGGGCCAUGCUCUGAGGGUACUGCUGUGGGGGCUGUGCCGUGAGGGCCAUGCUCUGAGGGUACUGCUGUGGGGGCUGUGCCGUGAGGGCCAUGCUCUGAGGGUACUGCUGUGGGGGCUAUGCUGUGAGCGCCAAGCCAUGAGGGGACUGCCAUGAGGGCCAAGCCAUGCCCGGGAUGCCAUGAGGGAGGUGCAGUGAGGCCCAAGCCGUGAGAGAAUUUGCCCUGAAGAGCGGGGAUGCGCGGCGCGUGUCCCGCCAUUUUGCGGUUCGGACACGGGCGCACACGGCCCGCGCCGCCCCCCGCGCCCUCAGCCCGGCGCGGGCGUGGCGGGACCCUCGGCAGCGCCGGGACGGCGACAGCCACGCACCUGAGGGAAGCGCUGCCCCUUCCAGCGCGGCGGGGAGACUCACCGUUCUCGGAGAAUAUUCAAAGCUUUAGAAUAUAUAAAAAGGAAACAUGCAGCUUGAGAAAAGAAGAUGGACAUCAUCUCAAGGAUUAAUGGUUUUGACCAAGGGAAGCUGGACAUCACUGCUAUGAGAUUUAUAGUCCUUGCGAACAAAAGGUGGAGCCACAUCUGGAGACUGGACCUCACUAUCUGGGAGACUCCUUCCUUCUUUCAGAAACGGAACCACCACCCCCUGGGAUACUCCGUGGGACACAUCCUGAGAAAAACUAAAUCACAAUAGUGUAUAGAAUUGUGACGUAAAAAUUUGGAAUAGAAACUGCUGACAAGUAAAACUUGGCAGAAAAAACUGCUGAGAAAGCUUAUUAGGACCCCUAUAAAUACCUGUAAGCCCAACUAUCAGUGUGCAGUUGGAGGCAAACUUCCCUCACUGUACCCAGCGCUGUAUUGCUCAUACUUUACCAUAUUAAUUAAUACAUUGAUUGCUGCUUGAAUAUUGGCCUAGUCAAGCUUCUUAUUUAUAACACCUGGUUGAGACAAGGCCAUUUGCAUCAGCUGAACCUAAAUAUAUUUGAAAUUAUUCAACUGAAACAUUUUCAGCAUUUAAUUUGAUAUCAAAAAUUAUGUAGUGUUCUAAUAGUAAAUUUAAUGUAUAUUAAUGUGGGCAUGGCAUGAACAGGUAAAAGGACUUCUUAACUGUAACUGCUUUGUAUUUUAAAUGGAAUAAAUAAAGUGUGACAAAAAAGUAA